CAUAAAUAAAAAGAAAAUUUCUUCAAACAUUUUUUGAGAGGAUUAAUAUUCAACAGCAUAAUGAAUUGCUCAAAGGCAAAAAAAAAAUUUUUUAAGUUCAUUAGACCACAUUCAUUCUGUGUCAGAAACCUAUGCUGUGUCAACUAUUUAAUUACAAUCCAAAUUUAGAGCUGAAUCCAGCUUGAAUGUUGUGUCCGUACUUGCCCCA
rnacentral:lncRNA from 1 species